rnacentral:rRNA from 1 species
UGGGGAAUUUUGGACAAUGGGCGAAAGCCUGAUCCAGCAAUGCCGCGUGUGUGAAGAAGGCCUUCGGGUUGUAAAGCACUUUUGUCCGGAAAGAAAUCCUUGGCUCUAAUACAGUCGGGGGAUGACGGUACCGGAAGAAUAAGCACCGGCUAACUACGUGCCAGCAGCCGCGGUAAUACGUAGGGUGCAAGCGUUAAUCGGAAUUACUGGGCGUAAAGCGUGCGCAGGCGGUUUGCUAAGACCGAUGUGAAAUCCCCGGGCUCAACCUGGGAACUGCAUUGGUGACUGGCAGGCUAGAGUAUGGCAGAGGGGGGUAGAAUUCCACGUGUAGCAGUGAAAUGCGUAGAGAUGUGGAGGAAUACCGAUGGCGAAGGCAGCCCCCUGGGCCAAUACUGACGCUCAUGCACGAAAGCGUGGGGAGCAAACAGGAUUAGAUACCCUGGUAGUCCACGCCCUAAACGAUGUCAACUAGUUGUUGGGGAUUCAUUUCCUUAGUAACGUAGCUAACGCGUGAAGUUGACCGCCUGGGGGGUACGGUCGCAAGAUUAAAACUCAAAUGAAUUGACGGGGUCAUAGCUG